UGCAUUCACUACUGUAAGUCGCUCUGGAUAAGAGCGUCUGCUAAAUGUAAAUAU
rfam:Salmo salar isolate Sally breed double haploid chromosome ssa06, whole genome shotgun sequence.